AUGAACGGCACACCGACUUCUCCCUCUGAAGGCUCCUCUUUUUGGAGAGCGCUGGAAUGUUCUGGGUGCUGGGCGCCCACCAGCAUCCCCAGCUCCCACCCCUGGCUAACUUCCCUGGUCUUUCUCUCCCUGCUUCCACAGGACCUCUUCCCUGGGCGCCGUGUCUUCCAUAACGUUGAAGGAAAGGCACCACGGCCCGUGUCAGCGAGCUCGGUCAGGCGGGCCUCCCGCCCCUGCCCCGACUCCCAGAGAAACCCGAGCCCAACAUGCGUCCUUGGGCCCAGCACCCUCCUCGCAUCUGCUUCAGGGUGGAGGACAGCGCAGGUUCCAGUCCUUUCCGGCCCAGGCGCCCGACUGCUCGGCGAGGCCCCAGGAUGGGCCUGGAAGGCCGUGGACCCUGCAGCUCCAGCCCACGGCCCAGCCUCAGGACGGCCACAUGCAAGCCUCACAGUCCCUGCACUGCCGGCAGGCCUGCCACGGAGCAGGUGCACGAGGAUUCCAGCCGCUGCCCCGCGUCUGCCGGGGGCACAGGGACCCUUGUCAACCCCCACCGAAGGGAAGUCAGGGGACCGCAGGCUGAGCUCUUCCCCGUGUAUCAGUUUCCUGCGGCUGCUGUGACAAAUCAUCAUAAACUGGCUCAGCACCAGCAACAAAAAUGUACCUUCCCACAGUUCUAGAAGCCAGAAGUCUGGAGUCAGUAGCUCUGGGCUGAAAUUAAGGAACGAGGAGGGCUACGCACACCCUCCAGAGGCUCUCAGGAGGCGAGGAAUCCAUCCCUUGCCUCUCCCAACUUCUGCUGGCCCCGGGCAUUCCUCGGCUUGGGGCCCCUCACUCUAAUCUGUGUAUCUGUGGUCAUGUCACUUUCUCCUCAUCUGUUUUUUUUUAAUUAAUUUAUUUUAUUUUUUAAUUAUUAUUAUUUUUAAAGAUUUUAUUUAUUUAUUCAUGAGAGGCAGAGACACAGGCAGAGGGAGGAGCAGGGUCCGUGCGGGGAGCCCGGUGCAGGACUCGAUCCUGGGACCCCGGGGUCACGGCCUGAGCCGAAGGCAGACGCUCACCCGCGGAGCCACCCGGGCGGCCCUAAUUAUUAUUAUUUUUUUUUUUACGAAGGCUCCACACCCAGCGUGGGCCUUGACCUCAUGACCCUGAGAUCAAGCGUUGCAUGCUCUAUCAACAGAACCAGCCAGACGCGCCCUCUUUUCUGUGUAUCAGAUCUUUCUCCGCCUCUCUCCUGCAAGAAUAUGUGUGAUUGCAUCUUGGACCCAGAUGGGUCAUCCAGGGCGGCCUUUCUAUUCUGAGAUCCUUAACCACAUCUGGAUUAAGUUGAACUUCAUCUCCUCUGCAUUAUAGCAACGUCCUUUUUGUUUUUGUGCCACGUAAGGUGACAACCAGAGGUUCCAGGGAUUUAAGAGCGAGAGAUAAUUGAGGGCCCAGCCUGCGGCCAGUCUGGCUGACGGACCCAGAGCCCAAGUGCCCAGUGUCACGCCGCGGGGACCCGGCUCUGGCAGAGAGCUCAGACCCUCAGGCGGCCCAAAGGAGAUUCCCGCUCCUUGGUGUUCCGUAGCCCGCGAGUCCCUGCGCGGGUGUGCUCGAGGCGCCCCUGACCCUUGUCCGAAUCAGCAGCGUGGGGAGCACCCUCCCUGACUCCCCCUCGAGAACCCGGCCCCCCUCUGAAGCUGGAGCUGGGGGGGGCCACGGAAACGGGUGGUGGGAAGGAGGUUUGCGGGGCUGAUUCAGGACCCUGAGACGGGCAGAUGGGCCGGGGCUCCCCGCAGACCCAGCCGCCGUCCCCCGCGGGAGUGACAGGGGCGUCUGGCACGCAGAGGAGAAGGCCGCGUGACCACAGACGAGGGGGGUAUCGAAUGUCGGGAUGUCGCAGCCACAAGCCGGGGCCUGCAGCCGCCACCCGAUGCUGCGAGAAACGAAGAACAAAGUCUCCCCCAGGGUCCCGGAGUCUCCCCAGGGCCCCGUGACCUCGCAUGACCUCGGCCCACGAGCCUGACUUGGGGGGACGCGGUUGUGCUGUGCAAAGCCACCCGGUGCCUGCCGAUUCGUCGUGCGGGAAGCACGGGGGACGAGUACAGUGGGUGACCUGGCGGGGUUGACUUCUAGUGUUCCCUCAACACCUACCAGGCGCCUACUGUAUGCCGAGCGCUGCGGCAGGUGCGAGGGGCAGCCGGGGACGGGACCGCUGCGUGGGGGCGCCCCAAAGUGACCGCCGUGACGAGCCAGCUCCAGGGUCCCAGGGGCUCAGUGGUGCGGCAUCUGCCUCGGACCCAGGGCGACCCCGGGGUCCCGGGAUCGAGUCCCGCAGUGAAUUCGGGAAGUCCUUGGUGAUUCAUCAGAAGCGGGGGUGGGCUUGGGGACCCUCCCUGGGAAGUGAGGGGGGUCUUGGGAGCUGCCCCUGCAUUCCCAGUUCCCGCCCGUUUUUGUGCCGUGGACCGACUCCCCCGAAGCCAGGUGAGGCCGACAGACCGUUCCCGGGGUAAUGUUCUUAAACGCGUAAGGUGAAAUAUAAAGUAUUCAAAGAAAACCAGUCCCAUCGAAACCCAAGUAUGGAGGCAGGUGCUUCUUUAUGGCCGCGGUAAACGACAAGGCC
rnacentral:lncRNA from 1 species